UACAGAGGGGGCAAGCGUUGUUCGGAAUUACUGGGCGUAAAGGGCGCGUAGGCGGCCUGCUAAGUCGAACGUGAAAUCCCUGGGCUCAACCCAGGAACUGCGUCCGAUACUGGCAGGCUUGAAUCCGGGAGAGGGAUGCAGAAUUCCAGGUGUAGCGGUGAAAUGCGUAGAUAUCAGAUAGAACACCAAUGGCGAAGGCAGUUGCCUGGCUCAAAACUGACGCUAAAGCACGAAAGUGUGGGGAGCAAACAGG
rnacentral:rRNA from 1 species